GACGAACGCUGGCGGCGUGCUUAACACAUGCAAGUCGAACGGUAAGGCCCUUCGGGGUACACGAGUGGCGAACGGGUGAGUAACACGUGGGUGAUCCGCCCUGCACUUCGGGAUAAGCCUGGGAAACUGGGUCUAAUACCGGAUAGGACCACUGCCUGCAUGGGUGGUGGUGGAAAGCUUUUGCGGUGUGGGAUGGGCCCGCGGCCUAUCAGCUGGUUGGUGGGGUGAUGGCCUACCAAGGCGACGACGGGUAGCCGGCCUGAGAGGGUGACCGGCCACACUGGGACUGAGAUACGGCCCAGACUCCUACGGGAGGCAGCAGUGGGGAAUAUUGCACAAUGGGCGCAAGCCUGAUGCAGCGACGCCGCGUGAGGGAUGACGGCCUUCGGGUUGUAAACCUCUUUCAGCACCGACGAAGCGCAAGUGGCGGUAGGUGCAGAAGAAGGACCGGCCAACUACGUGCCAGCAGCCGCCGUAA
rnacentral:rRNA from 1 species